AGGACAGAUUUUCCCAGGGAACGUUUACUCUGGGUACAGCAAGGCCUCAUGUACCUUCAGCCAGAAGUUUCAUGGACUCAAGCUUUGAGGAAUCACCUGUUUCAACUAGGCAGGAUUCCAGAAGAAUCUGAAGACCUGGGGGAGAAAAAAGCCACAGGAUAGAAGAAUCCUGGGUGCUUGAGUGACAGAGAAGAACACACAUCUCACACACUGAUCCAAACUGGAAUGUGAUAUGAGUAGGAGUGAGCUCCUGGGAGACGAAGACCUUUAGGAUCAUGAACUACAACCUGGAUAUUUUGUUUAUUAGAAAAGACACCAGAUAAAAGACUCUUUGCAGCCCUGAUGGAAAGGAUCAUACCAGGGUAAGCAUCUCUUCCUGGGAACUAAGGAUUAAUUACCAAUCUACUGUGCUCACCUUGUGACCACUGACCUGCUAACCAGUGAUCUGCUCUGCCACCUAAGCAUCUUGUGACAAUUGUAGAUGGGACAUUCCUGUCAUAUGGGAUGUAUGCUCUUUGUUCCAAGACAGUAUAUAACCACUCAUACACUCCACUUCUUUGGUGCUCUUCAUUCCUUGGGAAGGAAGGCCCUGGGCUAGGCCUCAGAUCUGGCUCAUAAUAAACUCACCCCAAUUUUGAUUUAUAGAUUGAUUAUGGAUUAUUUGCAUUGACAAAGUGAAGUGAAAGUCACCCUGAAAGUGCUGGGACGAAAUAAGUCAUGAGGGGUAGAUUGGAUAUCAGUAGAAUUAUUUCAAGACACAGAGACUGAAUGAGUCAAAAUCCUAACAAAAAUAUGCCAACAAAUAUGGAAAACAAAAUAAUGGCCUACAGACUAGAAACCUUCAGUAUAUAUCUCAGUCACCAAGAAAGGAGAUGCUAAGGAGUACAGUAACUAUAGGACUAUUGCUCUAAUUUCUCAUGCAAGUAAAGUAAUGCUCAAGGUGCUACAACAAAGGCUUUUAUCUUACCUGGAGCAGGAAAUGUCUGAUGUCCAAGCCGGAUUUCGAAUAGGUAGAGGCACAUGAAAUCUAACUGCAAUUAUUCAUUGGCUACUGGAGUGCUCCAAAGAAUUUCAGAAGAAGGUUAGACUAGGUUUUAUAGACUACAGUAAAGCCUUUGACUGCAUGGAUCAUGAAAAGCUGUGGGCUGCUUUGAAAGAAAUGGGUGUGCCUCAGCACUUGAUUGUCCUGAUGCUUAACUUGUCUGUGGACAAGAUGCCAUUGUCUGAACAGAAUAUGGGGAGACAGAAUGGGUUCCUAUAGGCAAAGGUGUCAGACAAGUGUGAGUUUUUAUCUCCUAUUUGUUUAAUCUGUACACAAAACACAUCAUAUGAAAAAUUGGGCUAGAUUCAGAUGAAGGAGGAGUGAAAAUUGGUGGAAGAAAUAUCAACAAUCUAACAUAUGCAGAUGACACCAUCUUAUUGGCAGAAAGCAGCAAUGACUUGAAAUGACUUCUGAUGAAAGUGAAAGAAAAAACUGCCAAAGCAGGACUGCACUCAAACAUCAACAAAGACAAAAAUCAUGACUACAGAAGAACUACUCAACUUUAAUGCAGACAAUGAUGACACUGAAAUUGUUAAAGAUUUUGUUUACCUUGGGUCAGUCAGGAAUUUAAAUGGAGACCGCAGCCAAGAAAUCAAGAGAAGACAGGCUGAAUGGGCAGCAAUGAAAGAAUUAUGAAAGGUCAUCAAGUGUGAGGAAGUUUCAUUAGAGACUAAGGCCAAGAUUAUCCACACCGUCAUAUUCCCAACUACUAUGUAUGGGUGCAAAAGCUGGACAGUGAAGAAGGCUGACAAGAAAAAGAUUGAUUCAUUUGAAAUAUGGUAUUGGAGGAGAGCUCUGCAGACCCUGCGGACUGGCAGAAAGACAAACAAGUGGGUCCUAGAGCCAAUUAAACCUGAAUUAUUGCAUCGAGGCAAAAAUGAUAAAACUGAGGCUGUCCUACUUUGGGCACAUUAUGAGAAGGCAAAAUUCUUUGGAAAAGACAAUAUGCUGGGAAAAGUAGAAGGCAGCAGGAAAAGAGGAAGAUUAAAUCUGAGAGGGAUCAACUCCAUAAAGGAAGCCAUAGGCACGAGUCUACAGAAGCUGAGUAGGGUCAUUGAGGACAGGACAUUGCGGACAUCACUCACUCAGAGUGUCAGGAGUUGGAGCCGACUUGACAGCACAUAACAACAACAGAAAAAUCCCCACUCCCUGAUAUUUGCUCCUGGUUUGCUCAUCUCUCUUCUCCUAUCCAUUUUGAAGGAUCCAUUUGCUCCUUCAAAGCCCAGCUUGAGUCCCAGAUGACUCCUAUGGUUCUGGUGGUGUGAAUCCUAAUAUUUAGCACAUAUCAUUCUCGAGUGCUUAACACCUUUUGUUCCCAACUUAUUUGGGAAUUUGAUUUCAUGUAUUCUGGAUUUCCACAGCCUAGAGGAAAUA